GAUGAAGAACGUAGCGAAAUGCGAUACUUGGUGUGAAUUGCAGAAUCCCGUGAACCAUCGAGUCUUUGAACGCAAGUUGCGCCUCAAGCCAUUAGGUUGAGGGCACGUCUGCCUGGGCGUCACAUAUCGUUGCCUGAUGCCAGUUUCCUCGUGAUGGGUGACUGUGCAGGGCGAAUGAUGGCUUCCCGUGAGCAUUGUUGCCUCAUGGUUGGUUGAAAAUUGAGUCCUUGGUAGGGAGCGCCGUGAUAGAUGGUGGUUGAGUGACGAACGAGACCCAAUCAUGUGAGACCCCUAUCGAAUUUGGCCUUCAUGACCCACAUGCGUCUUUGGAACGCUCAUGACGAGACCUCAGGUCAGGCGGGGCUACCCGCUGAGUUUAAGCAUAUCAAUAAGCGGAGGA
rnacentral:misc_RNA from 1 species